CCCUUAGAUGUCCUGGGCCGCACGCGCGUUACACUGAUGCAUUCAACGAGCUUAUAACCUUGGCCGAGAGGCCUGGGCAAUCUUGUUAACGUGCAUCGUGAUAGGGAUAGAUUAUUGAAAUUAUUAAUCUUGAACGAGGAAUUCCUAGUAAACGCAGAUCAUCAAUCUGCAUUGAUUACGUCCCUGCCCUUUGUACACACCGCCCGUCGCACCUACCGAUUGGAUGGUCCGGUGAAGCCUCGGGAUUGUGGUUCUUGCCGCUUUAUUGUGGCGUGACCGCGAGAACUUGUCUAAACCUUAUCAUCUAGAGGAAGGUGAAGUCGCAACA
rnacentral:rRNA from 1 species